rnacentral:rRNA from 1 species
GAUGAACGCUAGCGGCAGGCCUAACACAUGCAAGUCGAGGGGUAGAGGAAGCUUGCUUCCUUGAGACCGGCGCACGGGUGCGUAACGCGUAUGCAAUCUACCUUUUACAGAGGGAUAGCCCAGAGAAAUUUGGAUUAAUACCUCAUAGUAUAUAUCAUUCGCAUGUUUGGUAUAUUAAAGUUCCAACGGUAAAAGAUGAGCAUGCGUCCCAUUAGUUAGUUGGUAAGGUAACGGCUUACCAAGACGAUGAUGGGUAGGGGUCCUGAGAGGGAGAUCCCCCACACUGGUACUGAGACACGGACCAGACUCCUACGGGAGGCAGCAGUGAGGAAUAUUGGUCAAUGGACGCAAGUCUGAACCAGCCAUGCCGCGUGCAGGAAGACGGUCCUAUGGAUUGUAAACUGCUUUUGUACGGGAAGAAACACUCCUACGUGUAGGAGCCUGACGGUACCGUAAGAAUAAGGAUCGGCUAACUCCGUGCCAGCAGCCGCCGUAAAAC